rnacentral:rRNA from 1 species
GACGAACGCUGGCGGCGUGCCUAAUACAUGCAAGUCGAACGCAUUUUCUUUCACCGUAGCUUGCUACACCGAAAGAAAAUGAGUGGCGAACGGGUGAGUAACACGUGGGUAACCUGCCCAUCAGCGGGGGAUAACACUUGGAAACAGGUGCUAAUACCGCAUAAUUCCAUUUACCGCAUGGUAAAUGGAUGAAAGGCGCUUUUGCGUCACUGAUGGAUGGACCCGCGGUGCAUUAGCUAGUUGGUGGGGUAACGGCCUACCAAGGCUGCGAUGCAUAGCCGCCCUGCAAGGGGAAGAGGCCAAGCUGGGAGUGGGGCACGGCCCGGAAGCCUGCAGGAGGCAGCAGUAGGGGAUCCUCGGCAAUGGAAGCAAGUCUGACCGAGCAACGCCGCGUGAUUGAAGAAGGGUUUCGGAUCGUAAAAAUCUGUUGUUAGAGAAGAACAAGGAUGGGAGUGGAAAGUUCAUCCCUUGACGGUAUCUAACCAGAAAGCCACGGCUAACUACGUG